rnacentral:sRNA from 1 species
GCUAAAUAAUUUCUGCUCAGCCAUGUCGCCGGCUCCAGAUGCAGCCCCGGCUCCUGCGUCGAUCUCCCUGUUUGACCUCAGCGCGGAUGCUCCGGUCCUUCAGGGCCUGAGCCUGGCUCAGGGGAGAGAGAAAGCCCAGAAAGAAAGCUACUCCAGGGUCCUAUGGAUAUUUCAGAGAAGUUAUUUUGUUCAACCUGUGACCAGACCUUCCAGAACCACCAAGAACAGAGGGAACAUUAUAAGCUUGACUGGCAUCGGUUUAACCUAAAGCAACGUCUCAAGGACAAGCCUCUCCUGUCUGCCCUGGACUUUGAAAAGCAGAGCUCCACAGGAGAUCUUUCCAGCAUCUCAGGAUCAGAAGACUCAGACUCAGCCAGUGAGGAGGACUUGCAGACACUGGAUCGGGAGAGGGCUACAUUUGAGAAGUUUAGCCGACCCCAAGGCUUUUACCCUCAUCGAGUUCUUUUCCAGAAUGCCCAGGGCCAGUUUCUUUAUGCCUACCGCUGUGUCCUAGGCCCUCAUCAGGCAAGUGACAGUACAGGUUGUAUGGCUAACCCCAGCCUUUUGUACACCCAGCCUAGAUUUCCCUAAACCUAAUGCAUUUCUCCCUGCUUUUCUUCCUU